GAUCCUCUCCUCCGUCCCCGCCUCCCCUGCCUGCGCCCCUGCCUCCGCCUCUGCCCACCCGGCCCAAUCCCUUACAACUGCCCCAGGACGGCUUCUGGGCAGCCGCUGCCAUACAGAAGGCACCGGGUUGCCCCUCUCUGCUCCAGCUAGAAAGACCUGAGUUAGACAAGCGGAAGCGGACGCCUCCCUACCUCAUGGCGACAGAAAACGGAGCAGCGGAGCUGGGAAUCCAGAGCUCACCAACAGACAAUGCACCUAAAGGUGCAGCAGGCGAAGGACCCCCAGCUACAGAGAAAGACCUUGCCCCCCCAGACCCAAAGAAAGAGCCUGGUUCCCAAGAACCAAAGGAAGAAACUGCCCCCCCAGAUCCAAAGAUGAAUCCUGCCCCCCCAGACCCAAAGAAGGAACCUGCCCCCCCAGACCCAAAGAAAGAGCCUGGUCCCCAAGACCCAAAAAAAGAACCUGACCCCCCAGACCCAAAGAAGGAACCUGCCCCCCCAGACCCAAAGAAUAAA